rnacentral:rRNA from 1 species
UGGGGAAUAUUGGACAAUGGGCGCAAGCCUGAUCCAGCCAUGCCGCGUGUGUGAAGAAGGCUCUAGGGUUGUAAAGCACUUUCAAUAGGGAGGAAAAGUAAGUAGUUAAUACCUGCUUACCGUGACGUUACCUAUAGAAGAAGCACCGGCUAACUCCGUGCCAGCAGCCGCGGUAAUACGGAGGGUGCAAGCGUUAAUCGGAAUUACUGGGCGUAAAGCGCGCGUAGGCGGCACGAUAAGUCAGCUGUGAAAGCCCCGGGCUCAACCUGGGAACUGCAGUUGAUACUGUCGUGCUAGAGUAUAGUAGAGGAGUGUGGAAUUUCAGGUGUAGCGGUGAAAUGCGUAGAGAUCUGAAGGAACAUCAGUGGCGAAGGCGACACUCUGGACUAAUACUGACGCUGAGGUGCGAAAGCGUGGGGAGCAAACAGG